rnacentral:rRNA from 1 species
GAUGGUAGCUUGCUACCAGGCGUCGAGCGGCGGACGGGUGAGUAAUACUUAGGAAUCUACCUAGUAGUGGGGGAUAGCUCGGGGAAACUCGUAUUAAUACCGCAUACGACCUACGGGAGAAAGGGGGCAGUUUACUGCUCUCGCUAUUAGAUGAGCCUAAGUCGGAUUAGCUAGAUGGUGGGGUAAAGGCCUACCAUGGCGACGAUCUGUAGCUGGUCUGAGAGGAUGAUCAGCCACACCGGGACUGAGACACGGCCCGGACUCCUACGGGAGGCAGCAGUGGGGAAUAUUGGACAAUGGGGGAAACCCUGAUCCAGCCAUGCCGCGUGUGUGAAGAAGGCCUUUUGGUUGUAAAGCACUUUAAGCAGUGAAGAAGACUCCGUGGUUAAUACCCACGGACGAUGACAUUAGCUGCAGAAUAAGCACCGGCUAACUCUGUGCCAGCAGCCGCGGUAAUACAGAGGGUGCAAGCGUUAAUCGGAAUUACUGGGCGUAAAGGGAGCGUAGGUGGCUCGAUAAGUCAGAUGUGAAAUCCCCGGGCUCAACCUGGGAACUGCAUCUGAUACUGUUGAGCUAGAGUAUGUGAGAGGAAGGUAGAAUUCCAGGUGUAGCGGUGAAAUGCGUAGAGAUCUGGAGGAAUACCGAUGGCGAAGGCAGCCUUCUGGCAUAAUACUGACACUGAGGCUCGAAAGCGUGGGUAGCAAACAGGAUUAGAUACCCUGGUAGUCCACGCCGUAAACGAUGUCUACUAGUCGUUGGG